GGCAUGGCAAGCCAAGAUGGCGACAGUCUUGGACACCGAAGUGAGAAAGCCGUCAAACUUCCGCAGUUUUCAGGCGUUCUCUCCUCCGUUUUGGGCGCCGCAAGGAUCAGGAGUGAGCACUCAACUGAACAAAGGCUUUGAUAACAACCAGCAGAGAGAAAGCUGCCUGUCGUAUGUCCUGGAGGGUUGCAGUUGCGGUGUCCAUUCGAACGAUGAAAGUACCUAUUGGGGCAUCCACGAAGACAGGGAUGCUUUCCAGUUGGGACAGCUUGAUCUAAGACAAAGUAAAAACAGUUACUGCAGAUGUUCACUGUGUUUUCUCUGUUUUAACAGUGACCUCUCCAUUUUAGGAAUAUGACUUUGCCAUAUUGUCAGAUCUUUUGAUCUUCAAAUAGACUUUAAAAUGUUAUGUUGUAAUCAUUCUCAAUAUUUUUUUUAGAUUCAUCAAAGAAAGAUUACUUCUUGGAUUAAUUAUGUCUUAUGAUUCCCCAGAGGGGGAAAGGCUUUCUGUUUUUAUAGCUGUUUCCGUUAGUUAAUUUUUCUUCCGCCUUGGCUUAAGCCAUUCAAAACUCAGGUGAAAGCUGGGCAAUGACGUCACCAACAGCAUGUUAAAAUGUGUGGUAUAUAGAAUGUUUGCCAUCCUCAUUCUGAUUGUGGUUCACUCAGUGACUAUACGCUUUUUAUUCAUUUUGCCAUGCUGGCCUUCAUGUUCUACAUAGCUUAUGGUUACGUCAUAAUAAUAUAUAAUUAACUGUAAAUACUCAAGGUUGAAAAUGUGUGAUCCGCGGUACAAUCGGCACCGUAAAAGACUUUUGAGUGUGAUUAGAUUGACAAAAGGCCACGGGAAAGACUGACUGCAUUUUCACGAAAAUGUUGCCUUUCUAGUUGGAAAUGGAAAUUAUUUUUAGAUUAGGCUGACAGAAGAUUACAAGACACUUUUUAAGCACCUUCCUGUAUUGUACAUUGUAUAGCUUCUACUACAAGGCAAUUUAGUCUUUGGACAACCUUCUUGUACUUUACAUUCGCAUAAUAUGCGUAUUGUGUGUGUUGUUAUUCAAUAAACCAGUUCUCUCUCUCUAAAUUCAUUGGAACCAAGGGAGUUAUUUGAACCUUCUUGAUAACAAAAGAAAUAAUAGGGUUUCAAAUAGUGACAGAAUCACUUAACGUUUUAACUAAAAAUGUAGAACAUAGCAGAAACCUCCUUUCCCCUUUUGAGGGUCUGCAUGAGGGAUGCUGGCAACGCUUACGGUAAAUUCAGAAAGACAAACAACUCCUAAUGGUAAAUUCGGAAGCAUCCUGAUGCAUAAUGCAAGACUCAAUCACCCACAUGUAGCAGCAGAGGUUUUGCUUCAAAACUGCUGAUUUAUGAGGUGUGGGGUCAGAGACUUGAACUCUGAGGCCCACUUAAUCUCUGAGGCCCACUUUACCUUACGCUUUUCGCCUUAGCGGGACUGGCGGGAGCGGGACUGCGAGAGCGGGAGCCCUGUGUAAAGAGAGUUCCCACUAUCAUAGUCCCGCUGUCUUCAAAUUUUCUCCCGUCCAAUCCAAAGUGUACGCCUGUAGGCUCAGCAGGAGGGGAAAACAGUCUAACGAUAGUUAUUUUUUUAUAUACUAGUAGAAUGAAUGUCAACUUAAAAAUCAACCCGAACUACGCAGAAAAAAAUAAUUUUCACGGCCUGCCUUUUCCGUAAUGGCAACCUAUGCAGGCUCUCACGUCAAUCGGGUCGGCAGUCAACCUUCAAAGCAAGCGGGCUGUCAGCGAAAAAUUGUCUCAUUCUCACAUUAUGGGGCAUUUUUGGGAGACCUACUUUCGCAUAAUUUUCAUGGAAGACCUGUAAAAAAAUAUACAAGUUUGAUUCCAAAUAUUUUCCCCUGCAAUACAUUGUUACAUUGCACCUAAACCAGAAGCCGCUUUCUCUGCAAAUUUUGUAUGCAGUAAUUCCAUUACGCGUCUCCAAUUGGCCGUUGCUAUGACAGUGGUGGCUGUUGCUAUGACAUUGGUGGGGAAAUUCCCGCCACAUGAACUGCUGGCAGCUUGAGUUUCUACGCACGAGGUAAUUAUUAUACCUUCUUAUGCAAAAUCACAUAUUUGAAUUUUCAAUCACUUGGAAGCGAUACGCAAACAAAAAAUGAAAGUUUGUUCAAUAUAACACCGUGCAGCUAAAAAACUGCGAUCUUUACGGGUAGACUUUCACCAAGAUUUUACAUUCCACCGCGCGCCGCGGGUGUCCUGCUAGAUUUCCGGGUGGUGUGUCUAAAUAACGGCGCCCCGAUAGCGUGAAAUUUCACCGCUGACGCGAAUAGCGUAAUGUAAAGUGGGCCUGAGUCUGAGGGUUAUCUGACAUUACUUCCUGACUGCUCAGAUCUAAUCUCCAAGCAGAUCUUGCGUGGCACAAGACAGUAUCAUAAGCUGGGGAAGGAGUUUAGCUGGCAGAGGAGUAAAUUGGCCAUGCGUGGCCAAUUUAGACGCCAUUCACACUCAGAAAAACGAUUCGAAUGAAACGUUAUCCGAAUAAAACGACCUGCUUGGAGAUUACCUCAGAUCUACUUGUCGUCACAAAGAAUGUCUCAAUAACAGUUAGCAAUGAAUUCAGGAAAACAAAUAACACAUUACAAGAAUGAAAACGUCCAAUAACACUUCAUGAA